rnacentral:lncRNA from 1 species
CCCUGCCUAUGCGGCUGGCUCUGAAGUGCUGGGGGAAUCGGACUAAAUAAGAUUUGCCUGUGCUUUGCCCAGACUGGAGUGCCUCUGGAGAGCCGACUUAGCUUAUAUGGAUGUUACCUAGAAGAAAGGAGACUACUUGUUCCAGGCUCCACCAGUGUGACUGUUUUUAUGUUAGACUAUCAUCUACAAAGUGGGAAUAUAAUGGAGCUGAGAUAAGGAAGCAGCUGAUCUUCACCCCCUGCAUGAGAAUUGCAAGAGGCCACAUCAUUGCAUUCCCUCUUGCCUGUGUUCCUACCGGGMUUGUGGUGAUACCGUACCAUAAACUGCAUAUGAUGCUCAAGAGGUUUGACAUCAUCACGGUUCUGAGAGCUUCCUGGCUGGAUUAUGUCUCCCGUACCAUACCACCCUCUUCACACAAUUCCCAUGGUGUGUUUGGUGCCAGAAGGAAGGCUGCAGAGGUGACUGAGCCCUUUUCCUAAAAUCUGCCUUUGGUCAUUUCUAUUUUAUACUACUGAGCUUUUGUGAAAAUACAUCCUCUACUUCCUAGACAAGAGCUACUUUAAAGAACUGAAUCCAUACAGGCUGUAGCAUUUUCAAGGCCUCUUUAGAAAAGUCUGAACCUUACCACCUUUUCUAUGCUGGAAGAAGUGACUGUGAAGUGGCAUCAAGUAUAAAAAUUAAUGAAGGAUGGGGAAAACAGGUUGUAUUUUCCAAAAUGUAAAUACUACAAAUUCAAUCUGAGACUUGAAAAUGAAGCUUUUUUUAUUUUUCCCUUCUCUUGUUGUGCUGUAUUCAGUAAAAUUGUCACUGUGAGUGGAUUCUUGAGAUUCUUUGAGUCACAAAGCCUGAAAAAAGGUGUAUGAGCUCCUUUCCUUAUGAGGUGGUCUCUCUCUUUAUGCUGGUACUGGCAUGUCAAUCACUGGAGGUAUUCGAACAAACUUCUGCUAAUAAAGUGUGAAAAG